GCCCAGCUGGCGCAAUGGUUAGCGUUUUUGACUUCUAUCAAGAACAUCAAAAGGUUGCCGGUUCGAGUCCGGCGUUGGGUG